rnacentral:lncRNA from 1 species
UGGACCGGGCCGUAAGAUUGUGAUCGAUCGAUGAGAGAAUCCCAUCGAUCGAUCGAGAAUCUCAAUUGUUCCUCGGAAUGUCCUCGGAAAAUCUUGUAUGUUUUUUUAAAAACGCAUCGAUCGAUGCGUUAUAGAACAAAAACGCAUCGAUCGAUUACAAAGAUGGACCGGGCCGUAAGAUUGUGAUCGAUCGAUGAGAGUAUCCCAUCGAUCGAUCGAGAAUCUCAAUUGUUCCUCGGAAUGUCCUCGGAAAAUCUU